GGAGGGGUGUCCGAGUGGUUAAAGGAGACGGACUGUAAAUCCGUUGGCUAUGCCUACGCUGGUUCGAAUCCAGCCCCCUCCACCA
rnacentral:tRNA from 6 species